UGCUUCCUGGGGUGUUCGAUAUCUUGUCACGUCCCUCGAGCCGAUAAUUAACAGUAUGGAUUUCUUCAGUGGAUAUUGUGUGCAGGUCCGUUCUCGGAAAGCCUAAUAUAUCUCGGAGAUCUCCUCCUUGAACCUUCGGGUUCAGGGCCACGAUAAGUAACGGCGCCUUGGGGAGUCC
rnacentral:other from 1 species